AGAGUUGAUCAUGGCUCAGGAUGAACGCUGGCGGCGUGCUUAACACAUGCAAGUCGAACGAAGCCAAAAGGAAGCUUGCUUCUUGAAGCUUAGUGGCGGACGGGUGAGUAACGCGUGAGUAACCUGCCCUUCAGUGGGGAAUAACACAGAGAAAUCUGUGCUAAUACCGCAUAACGUCUUCUUGCCGCAUGACAGGAAGACCAAAGGAUUUAUUCGCUGAAGGAUGGACUCGCGUCCGAUUAGCUAGUUGGUGAGGUAACGGCCCACCAAGGCGACGAUCGGUAGCCGAACUGAGAGGUUGAUCGGCCACAUUGGGACUGAGACACGGCCCAGACUCCUACGGGAGGCAGCAGUGGGGAAUAUUGGGCAAUGGGCGAAAAAGCCUGACCCAGCAACGCCGCGUGAAGGAAGACGGUCUUCGGAUUGUAAACUUCUUUGAUUGGGGAAGAAACAAAUGACCUACCCAAAGAACAAGUCACGGCUAACUACGUGCCAGCCGCUGC
rnacentral:rRNA from 1 species